CGGACGGCUCAGUAACACGUAGUCAACCUAACUCGUGGACGUGGAUAACCUCGGGAAACUGAGAAUAAACCACGAUAGAUCAUAAUGCCUGGAAUGGCUUAUGGUCCAAACAGUUUACUGCCAUGGGAUGGGACUGCGGCCUAUCAGCUUGUUGGUGAGGUAAUGGCCCACCAAGGCGAUUACAGGUACGGGCUCUGAGAGGAGAAGCCCGGAGAUGGGUACUGAGACACGGACCCAGGCCCUAUGGGGCGCAGCAGGCGAGAAACCUUAGCAAUGUGCGAAAGCACGACUGGGUCAGUCCGAGUGAUUCCUGAUAAAGGAGUCUUUUGCUUGUCCUAAAAGCACAGGUGAAUAAGGAGUGGGCAAGUCUGGUGUCAGCCGCCGCGGUAAUACCAGCACCUCGAGUGGUCAGGACGUUUAUUGGGCCUAAAGCAUCCGUAGCCGGCUCUGCAAGUCUUCGGUUAAAUCCACCUGCUCAACAGAUGGGCCGCUGGAGAUACUACAGAGCUAGGGAGUGGGAGAGGCAGACGGUAUUCAGUGGGUAGGGGUAAAAUCCUCUGAUCCAUUGAGGACCACCAGUGGCGAAGGCGGUCUGCCAGAACACGUUCGACGGUGAGGGAUGAAAGCUGGGGGAGCAAACC
rnacentral:rRNA from 1 species